UAAAUAUUUCGUUUUUCUUUUGCAUUAACAUACCCCUAUUCUUCUUUGUCAAAAAAAUAUACUCGUAUUCUUUAGUAAAAAAAACAUACCUUAUUCUUGCUGUUAUACGAAGGUGAUAGCUAUGGACUUGAGGAAUUUGCUAAGAGUUGGGCCUCAAAUUUGCCUACAAGUACGUGAGCCAAGGAGCAAAGACGGUUCCCAAACGCAACCCACAUUUAUUUAUUAAUCUAAACUUCACUAACAAAUUGGUGUACGAGGCACACAUUGAAACCAAGAUAGGUGGAGCUUGCAACCAGUGGAUUGGGUAGGGAUUUGAAUCGUCUCCUUUUUCUCCCUCAUUGCAAGAGAAAUAUUAACACACAAAUAACUAUUUACUUAUUUUUGUUUGUGUAUAAGAUCAUCUAAAUUAUUUGUGUUUAUCUCUCUUUUGACAUGUGAAAGAAAAAGAGGGAUCCAUUGAGUAGUAACAACAACCCAUACCUUUAUUCAGAAGUGAAUUUGGAUAUAACAUGAUCGGUGCUGGUGAGUCGUAUAAUAUACUGUAAUGGACUAUGAUUGGAAAAAUUUCAAGGACCCUAAAUUCCCUAAGAAAUUUCAGCUUCUCCAUAAGAAGGUUCAAGAUCCAAGCUCAAACCUUUCAAAAGUCUGAUAUAAUGUUCCAUCCAUUGACCGGUAAGUGGGCUUAUGCGAAUGGGAGUAACAAUGAACUCAUCCAUGAAAAAAUUUAUUGUCUGCAUUAACUCAUCCAUGAAAAGUAAAUACACGUAGUUGGAAUUUUAACAUGGUUUCUUGGAAUAUUUUAGAAUCAUAGGUCAUAUGAGACAAGUUCUAGAAUAAAACCACAACCUUUUUAUGAUUCAUUCAAUUGUUAUUUCCAAUAAUUUGUGUAAUACUUUUCUUGAAUUAAAUCCUUUCAGACCAACAAAUAUCAAACAAAUUUUCUGGUAACUUGCCAGCAAGUUAAUAUUCACUGUACUGUGUGUACAUACAAGAUGGAGAAAUGCUCACGGAACUAAUAGUGGGCUUUGAAUUAAUAUUUGUGUGGCUUAUCUUAGGAUUGAAAGGAAUGAUAGAUAAAGAAUGAAAACUUGCUUUACUUACAAAGAGGUCUUCAAUAUCUCCAAUCUCAAACCUUUACAUUUAACUAUUUGCUACUCACUCCUCUGCCCAUCUCUGGGGUUGAAAUAAAAAGAAAACAA